ACCCGCGUACAUGCCACCGGGGCAUCCCGGAGGCAGGAAAGGCUUCGGCCGGACAGGGAUGGGCAUGCGGCGCAUUAGGCAGUAGGCGGGGUAACGGCCCACCUAACCGACGAUGCGUAGGGGUUCUGAGAGGAAGGUCCCCCACACUGGUACUGAGACACGGACCAGACUCCUACGGGAGGCAGCAGUGAGGAAUAUUGGUCAAUGGUCGGGAGACUGAACCAGCCAAGCCGCGUGAGGGAUGAAGGUACAGAGUAUCGUAAACCUCUUCUGUCAGGGAACAAAGGCAGGGACGUGUCCCCGGAUGAGUGUACCUGAAGAAAAAGCAUCGGCUAACUCCGUGCCAGCAGCCGCGGUAAUACGGAGGAUGCGAGCGUUAUCCGGAUUUAUUGGGUUUAAAGGGUGCGCAGGCGGUCUGUUAAGUCAGCGGUCAAAGCCCGGGGCUCAACCCCGGCCCGCCGUUGAAACUGGCAGUCUCGAGUUGGAGAGAAGUAUGCGGAAUGCGCGGUGUAGCGGUGAAAUGCAUAGAUAUCGCGCAGAACUCCGAUUGCGAAGGCAGCAUGCCGGCUCCACACUGACGCUGAGGCACGAAAGCGUGGGUAUCGAACAGGAUUAGAUACCCUGGUAGUCCACGCAGUAAACGAU
rnacentral:rRNA from 1 species